UUGUAGACGAGCUAGCGGCCAUCCUGGCUAAGGCUAACCUGGUGGGGCACAUUGAGGGGGUGGUCCCGCAUCUCAUCCCGGGGGGGCACUACAAGAAAUGUGUUAACUAAUGACCUUCUUAUAGUGACCACGGAUAAAUUAGUCAUAACUCUAUGACCAUCUCGCAACAAAUAGUCAUAAGCCAUUCGGGACGGCCAAAACCUUAAAUCAUUACGACCAUUCUGGUCAAGAAGGUCAUAAUUUCCUUACACAAAAUGGUCAUACAGAAAAUGAUAUGCUGCAUGACCUUUGUUCUAGCCGACUACGACCAAUUUAAUUGGUCAUGGCUGCUAAUUGGUGGUGCUUAAAAAUGACCCACCUCAACAAUUUCGCCUACCUGUCAUGUUUAUGUGUCAAACGAUCGCAUAGUUUUUGUCCACCUUUUCAAUUUUGUGUCCGUCUCAUGCCCAUGUGUCAAUUAUCCAAGAUUCACUAAACUUUUUUUUUUACUUAAGUUACCUAUUUCGUUCCUUUUAUGAUCUUUAAUUUCUAUUUUGUAUUUUUUAUUUACUUUUCAUAGGGAAGAUACAACUUACAAAACCUAUCUGAAAACAGAGGCUGACCUAUGGAGCCAGGAGCCAGGAGCCAGAGGUUGUCCGAGCGAGAGCGACGGCGCGGCCAAGAAAAUCGGGAAACGAAAUUCAGAAUGACCGGUGCGCGCUGAACACCAAAUUUUCUUCAAGUUCCCACCUAAAGAACAGAGGCUGGCAUGUGGGCACGGCCACAAGCGGGAGAUCGAAGUUUUCAGAACCACGGGCGGUACCGCGGGAGCGGAGAGACCAAAAUUUUCCCAAGUCCCCACCGCAUCGCUCAAACCCUAGCGCAUAUUUCCUCCUCCGCCACCAUCACCCCUCUCUCUUCUCUCCCCCGCCGCCCCUCUCUCUUCUCUCCCAGCCUCCUCGACUGUGAAGACCACCCCGUCGCUCCAGGGCCUCGCGGCGGCGAGAUCCACCCCAUCCCUCUUUUCCUAGCCCAUCGAGUCCGCCCCCUGCCGCCGGAUGCGGCCUUCCCCGGCCACCCAGCCGCCAGACUCGGUCUAUCCUGGCGUCCCUGCCGCAGUGCCGCCGGAUCCGACCGCACCCGACCUGCUUGCUCUCCUGAGGAUCCUAGAACGGGAGGUGAGGUCCGCCUCCGAGGGCGAGGAUGGCUAUGCAACCGGUCGUAACAUCCAGCGGAUGGUGAAGGGCGUGGUUAAUGUCAAGCUCACCAAGCGCCGACGCGAUGGCGUGUCGCUACCGCGUUCACGGCGCUGGAUCACCCCCGCAUCGACCUCGUCCACCUCUCCGACGGCAAGGUCGGCGACUUACUCAUCUACACGUUCAACAGUAAGCUUGUCGCAGCAUCAUGUAUGUAGAUGUCUAUUUACUUGAUCCUGCUGUAGCGGUUUCAUUUUUAUUUGAUCGCCUAAGAUCUGGAAGGUAAUACUCUCUGCACUUAUAUCCCUCUCUUGGUAAUCAUCUGUACGCAGCAAUCUGUUCUUGUGUUAUUGUGAUGCUAAGAAGCGACGUGUAUUGCUGUGAUCCUCAUUUAAUUGAGUAUGCUGCAGUUGCACACUUGUCCUCAUUUAUCUGCACAUUCAGCAUACUAGCCUCACUUGUGCUGUUAACGUAAGAUAAAUAUUAUUCAGUAAACUGCAUCCAUUAGUUUGCCUUGCAAGGUUGCAAAAUAGAGUAAAUUUUGUUGUCUGUAUACGUGCGUUAAUAAUCUAUGCGUCUGUUAAUAAUCAAUAUCAGGAUACGGUAAUAUGUGGUCUGUAUAGGCUAGAUACGUGUGCACAAGUAUAUACAUUAGUAAUGCAUACAUAUCAAUUUACAUGUGCAACCUGACGGCAGCUGCCACAUGCAUGUAAACCUUCAUCUUAGAUUAUAUGUACUUAUCUCGGAACAUAUCAUCCGUGAAUGGUAUUCAUCCAUGUUGCUUAUUCUUAGUGGUUGAUGUGAAUUCUCUGAUGCUGCAUCAUAUAACUUGUUUAGUAGUACACUUCCAAAAAAAAAAAUUUCACUUCAUCGUUUAUCUUAUAUGUUCACAUGUUAUUUCUUUGUUGGCACAAAUCUGUAUGUGCUUUAAUUUACUUGGUUUGACCCGUAGCAGCAGCCUUUAUGCUUGCUUGCUCGGUUGUUCUCGCAGAUCUGAUGGAGCCAAUGUGCCAGGGUUUAUGGAUGUGAUCAGCAGGAUUUGGGACGUUAAUUGUCCAGGAAGGACCAGAAGGAGAAGCAGGCCUCCUUGGAUCUUCAUCGAAUGGCUGCUACACCUCCUUCCAGACCGAGGCGGCGUGCAAUGGUGUCUGCCGCUGGCAUUUGCUGGAGAGGAGCACAACGACGAUGUCACCGCAGAUCGCCUCUGUCUGCUUGUGUGAAGGUAUCCCACACCCCCUUCUCUCCCAAUCCCCAGAUCCUCUACAAUACGCCGAUGAUACUUUGGUUCUGAUCAGGCCAAUAGGCGCAGGGAUUGCGAACCUCAAGGUCAUCUUGUUGUGUUUUGAGAAUAUGUCAGGGCUGAAGAUCAACUUUGAUAAGAGCGAAGUGGUGGUGACAGGGGUCCCACUGGAACUUCAACACCAGGUGGCCCACAUGCUUAAUUGCAAGCGGGGGGAAUUCCCAAUCAAAUAUUUAGGCCUACCUAUUAGUGACAAAGCGCUAAGGGUAGCGGACUGGAACUUCCUGCCAGAAAAGAUUAGGCACAGGGUUGACCCAUGGCAGGGGUUGUUCUUGGCUUCGGCAGGCAGGUUGGAGUUGACCAACUCCUGCCUAUCCAGCCUUCCUCAGUUUGCCAUGAGUCUUUACAUGCUCUUCGACAUCACCCAUAAGGCCAUGGACAAACCGAGAGCGCGCUUCUUUUGGGAAGGAGUGGGCAACAAACGCAAGUAUCACAUGGUAGACUGAGCUACUGUAUGUAAACCUAAAGCGUUCGGAGGAUUGGGAAUCCUCAACACCAAACUCAUGAACAUCGCAUUGAUGCUCAAGUGGAUUUGGAAACUCUACCAAGACGCGAAGGGUCUAUGGGCGGACAUUAUCCGUGCAAAGUAUCUAGGGGAAGGGACCUCUUCGACGAUACGGUCCCAACCAGAAGCUCCCAAUUUUGGAACUCCAUUCAUAAGAUUAAAUGGUACUUCAAGUUGGGAGCCAAACACGUGGCGCGCAAUGGGAGGCGCACCAGGUUCUGGCUGGACUGGUGGACUGGGAGGGGCCCCUUUAUGGCCAGGUUCCCGCACCUGUUCAGUUGCUGCACGGAUCCGAUGAUUUCGGUGUUUGAUGCUAGACCACCGGAUGGGCACCCUGGGGAGUGGGGAGUCGAGUUUCGGCGGUAAUUUGGGAUGGUGGAAACGG